UGAGUAUAUGGUGAACUAGGUUUUCAAUUA
rnacentral:piRNA from 1 species